rnacentral:rRNA from 1 species
GACGAACGCUGGCGGCGUGCUUAACACAUGCAAGUCGAACGAGUGGCGAACGGGUGAGUAAUACGUGGGUAACCUGCCCUCUUUUUGGGAUAAGCCUUGGAAACGGGGUCUAAUACCGAAUAAAGGGGGAUGGGCUCGCGGCCUAUCAGCUUGUUGGUGGGGUGAUGGCCUACCAAGGCGGUGACGGGUAGCCGGCCUGAGAGGGUGACCGGCCACAUUGGGACUGGGAUACGGCCCAGACUCCUACGGGAGGCAGCAGUGGGGGAUAUUGCACAAUGGGCGAAAGCCUGAUGCAGCGACGCCGCGUGUGUGAAGAAGGUCUUCGGAUCGUAAAGCACUGUUAUCAGAGAAGCGGUAACUGAUCAGAAAGCCACGGCUAACUACGUGCCAGCAGCCGCGGUAAUAC